GGGCCUGUGGGAGUCAUGCCACAGGAGCUUGAGAGGCUGCGGUCUGGACAAAUGGCUCUGGGCAAGCUGGCAGCUGUGACGAAGGGCAGGUCGUGCAAAUGUUGGGCAUGCCAAGCUGGAUAACCAUCAGAGUGCAAAUCAUCCCAGCAGGAAGACAUAACAUCAGCCACCAUAAAGCAUGUGGCCUGGAAACUGCCAGGGAGGCUUGAAUGAGAGAGGCGUGCCUGAGGAUGAUAGCACAGAUGCAAUCAUGGGAGCCAAGAAAUCCCACGAUCUGCUAUCUGCAAGCUGAAGAACCAGGGGAACUGGUGGUGUGAUUUGGUCUGAGACUGAGGGCCUGAGAAAGUGGGGGGCCACUGCGGUCCAAAGGCCCAAGAACCUGGACUUGUGAUGACCGUGAGAUUUGGAGAACAUGGGGAUAUUCCAGUUCCAGAAAAGAGAGCAAUUUGGCCCUUCCUCUGCCAUUUUUUUCUAUCCGGGACCUCAAUGGAUUGGAUGCUGCCUGCCACACUGGUUCUGCUUAAACUGGAUCAUGAAUACACCACUUUCAUUUGGUGAUGGAGUGCUGCUGUGCAUGCCCAACUUCAUGGCUUGGUAGGUCAGUGAUAUGGUUUGGCUGUGUCCCUACCCAAAUCUUGUCUUCAAUUGUGGUUCCCAUAAUCCCCAUGUGUCAUGGGAGAGACCUGGGGUGGGAAGUGAUUGGGUCAUGGGUGAGGUUUCCCCCAUGCUGUCCUCAUGAUAGUGAGUGAGUUCUCAUGAGAUCUGACGGUUUUAUAAGCAUCUGGCAUUUCCCCUCCUGGCACUUCUCCCUUGUGCUGCCUUGUGAAGAAAGUGCCUGCUUCCUCUUUGCCUUCCACCAUGAUUGUAAGUUUCCUGAGGUCUCCCCAGCAAUGCAGAACUGUGAGUCAAUUUAUUCAAUAAAUUACCCAGUCUUGGGCAGUUCUUUACAGCAGCAUGAGAAUGGACUAAUGCAGUCAGAUAAUUUUUUUUUUUUUUUUUUUUUUUUUUUUUUUUUUUGAGACGGAGUCUCGCUCUGUCGCCCAGGCGGGACUGCGGACUGCAGUGGCGCAAUCU
rnacentral:lncRNA from 1 species